CAGGCGCGAAAANUUUNCCAUNCUCGAAAAUGUGAUAAGGGGGGCCCCCAGUGCUCNGCCAAUACNUNGGGGUUUUNNAAGAGUGUAAACACCCCCGUNAAAAAGGAGGGGGCAAGUCUNNUCCCAGCCCCCGCGGUAAAACCNGCUCCNCAAGUGGUCGNCANUUUUUUUGGGCNUAAAGCGUCUGUACCCGGUUUGGUAAGUCCCUGGUAAAAUCNCCAGGCUNACCCUNAGGNUACCUGGGAAUACUGCCUUACUGGGACCGGGAGACGUCAGAAGGUACUCCAGGGGUAGCGGUGAAAUGCUUUAAUCCUUGAGGACCACCAGUGGCGAAGGCGUUCCGCGAGAACGGGUCCGACGGUGAGGGACGAAAGCCAGGGGAGCGAACCGGAUUAGAUACCCCGGUAGUCCUGGCCGUAAACGCUGCCGCGCUAGGGUGUUGCACGCUCCUACGAGCNCGUGCAGUGCCGAAGCGAAGCNGAUAAAGCCCGCCGCCUGGGAGANCGNCCNAAAU
rnacentral:rRNA from 1 species